CCGGCGGGCCGCUCUGUCGCCUUCGUUUUUCGGGGGAGGAAAGUCCGGACAGGAUAGAGCAAGGCUCUGUGGAAAGCACAGUCGGGGGAAACUUCGGGUAAUCCGUAACAGAAAAAAACCGCCUUCGGGUAAGGGUGAAAACGCGGGGUAAGAGCCCACGACCGUUAUUGGCGACAAUGACGGGGUACGGACAGCCUCCUGCAAGGCCAUGUAUACCGGCGUAUAGGACUGCUCGUCUGUUGCCGGGGGGUAGGCUGCAUCAGAUAGAUGACAGAGGCUCGUAAGAGUACAGAAUCCGGCUUACAGGCCCGCCUUUUUU
rnacentral:RNase_P_RNA from 1 species